GACGUAGGGGGCAAGCGUUGUCCGGAAUCAUUGGGCGUAAAGCGCUCGUAGGUGGAUCGGUAAGUCUGCAAAGAAAGACCCGGGCUCAACUCGGGGAACGGUGUGGAUACUACCGAUCUUGAGGCAAUCAGAGGAUGAUGGAAUUCCCGGUGUAGCGGUGAAAUGCGUAGAUAUCAGGAGGAACACCGGUGGCGAAGGCGGAUCUCUGGGCCGAUACUGACGCUGAGGAGCGAAAGCGUGGGGAGCGAACAGG
rnacentral:rRNA from 1 species